UGUAAAAAUAGUACAGGAAACUAAGUUUUAUACCUGUGCUUUUUAUUUUAGGCUACUGCAUUGGCUCUCCGCAAAGUUCCUCAAUGUAACAGUUCAUGGACAAAUGAUUAUAUUCGCCAGUAUAAUAAUGUGAAUAUUAAUGUAGCAGUGCAGACUGAUAAUGGGCUCUUUGUUCCAGUUAUCAGGGAUGCAGACAAGAAAGGCCUCUCUACAAUAGGGGAGGAGGUCAAACAAUUGGCAAAGAAAGCCAAAGAAAACAGCUUGAAACCCCAAGAUUAUGAGGGAGGUACAUUUACAGUGUCUAACCUGGGAGGGCCAUUUGGUGUCAAACAAUUCUGCGCAAUCAUCAAUCCUCCUCAGUCGGGCAUUCUUGCAGUUGGAUCUGGUAAGA